UGCCUCUAGUACCCUCUUAACUCCCCUCCCCUUGCCCUGAAUAAACUCUAUUCUAUACUAUUCCGUCUUGUGGUUGGUCCCUCAGAAGGAAGGGAUGCCUUGACAUGGGCCCACAGAGGCAUCCCCUUCCCCCAUAACUCACCACACCCCCAUAGAACAUAUUCUUAUAUCUCUACCUUUUUAUAAACAUAUUACCCAUCCUGUGAAUCUAGACAACAACUAACUCCAACUAGCAUUAAGAUUUCUGCUUCUAGGAAUUUGUCCUAAGGAAACAUUAGAGAUGAGAACAAGGACUGAUCCGAAAAAUGGGAACCAGAGCACAGCUGAUCUCUCUAAGAAGUCUGGAAACAAACAAAUACACAGCCAUUCAGGCUUUCUUUCGUGAACAGUGGUAAAACAUGCAGUCACUAAUGCGGCACUGUGAGAAGAACCUUAUGUCAAGUGUCAAAAAGCACGCUAAGGAAUCACAAGAUUGCGCUACAACUUUUGUGGUGAGUGAUUACCACCCACAUCCACUACUCUCUCCUCCUCUCACGGUCUGGCCACAGGAAUGGCUAAGCCUGAUCAUUCCACACAAAAGUUUAGUGUAUCUGGUUGUAUGCUGAGAUGUUUGAACCACUUGGACUUGAGUUUUCUGCAAGGAUCUAAGCAGAGAAAUCUCUGAUAGCCAAGAAGCACUUAAGUGUUCAACAUCCUUAUUCAUCGGGGAAAUGCAAACCAAAAUGAUGCUGACAUCAUUACAGCCAUCAGAAUGGCCAAAAUCAAAGACUCAAGUGACAGAACAUGCUGAUGAAGAUGUGGAGCAAGGGGAACUUUCCUCCAUUGCUGGUGGGACUGAAAACUUGUAUAACUACUUUGGAGAUCAACUUGGCGGUUCCUCAGAAAAU